GAUGAACGCUGGCGGCGUGCCUAAUACAUGCAAGUCGAGCGAACAGAUAAGGAGCUUGCUCCUUUGACGUUAGCGGCGGACGGGUGAGUAACACGUGGAUAACCUACCUAUAAGACUGGGAUAACUUCGGGAAACCGGAGCUAAUACCGGAUAACAUAUUGAACCGCAUGGUUCAAUAGUGAAAGGCGGCUUUGCUGUCACUUAUAGAUGGAUCCGCGCCGUAUUAGCUAGUUGGUAAGGUAACGGCUUACCAAGGCAACGAUACGUAGCCGACCUGAGAGGGUGAUCGGCCACACUGGAACUGAGACACGGUCCAGACUCCUACGGGAGGCAGCAGUAGGGAAUCUUCCGCAAUGGGCGAAAGCCUGACGGAGCAACGCCGCGUGAGUGAUGAAGGUCUUCUGAUCGUAAAACUCUGUUAUCAGGGAAGAACAAAUGUGCAAGUAACUGUGCACAUCUUGACGGUACCUGAUCAGAAAGCCACGGCUAACUACGUG
rnacentral:rRNA from 1 species